rnacentral:rRNA from 1 species
AACGAACGCUGGCGGCAGGCCUAACACAUGCAAGUCGAACGCCGUAGCAAUACGGGAGUGGCAGACGGGUGAGUAACACGUGGGAACAUACCCUUCGGUUCGGAAUAACUCAGGGAAACUUGAGCUAAUACCGGAUACGUCCGCGAGGAGAAAGAUUCAUCGCCGGAGGAUUGGCCCGCGUCUGAUUAGCUUGUUGGUGAGGUAACGGCUCACCAAGGCGACGAUCAGUAGCNGGUCUGAGAGGAUGAUCAGCCACAUUGGGACUGAGACACGGCCCAAACUCCUACGGGAGGCAGCAGUGGGGAAUAUUGGACAAUGGGCGCAAGCCUGAUCCAGCAAUGCCGCGUGGGUGAAGAAGGUCUUCGGAUUGUAAAGCCCCUUCGACGGGGACGAUGAUGACGGUACCCGUAGAAGAAGCCCCGGCUACUUCGUGCCAGCAGCCGCUGUAAGACCUGAGACUCCAA